rnacentral:rRNA from 1 species
GACGAACGCUGGCGGCGUGCUUAACACAUGCAAGUCGAACGGAAAGGCCCUGCUUUUGUGGGGUGCUCGAGUGGCGAACGGGUGAGUAACACGUGAGUAACCUGCCCGUGACUUUGGGAUAACUUCAGGAAACUGGGGCUAAUACCGGAUAGGAGCUCCUGCUGCAUGGCGGGGGUUGGAAAGUUGCGGUGGUUGGGGUUGGACUCGCGGCUAAUCAGCUUGUGGGUGGGGGUGUGGCUUAGACAGGCUUUGGCGGGUAGCCGGCCUGAGAGGGUGACCGGGCCCAUUGGGACUGAGAUACGGCCAAGACUCAUACGGGAGGAAGCGGUGGGGAAUAGUGCACAAUGGGCGGAAGCAUGAUGCAGCAACGCCGGGUGCGGGAUGACGGCCUUCGGGUUGUAACCCGCUUUCGCCUGUGACGAAGCGUGAGUGACGGUAAUGGGUAAAGAAGCACCGGCUAACUACGUG